rnacentral:rRNA from 1 species
CUUAUGAUGUUACUCUAUGAAUAAGAGGCUCCUAAUCAUGUGCCAGCAGGAGCGGUAAUACAUGAGCCUCGAGCGUUACCCGGAUUCACUGGGCGUAAAGGGUGUGUAGGCGGCAUAGUUAGUCGCGCGUUAAAGCCCAGGGCUCAACCCUGGAAUCGCGUGCGAAACGGCUAAGCUAGAGGGUGCGAGAGGUCUGUAGAACUCAUGGUGUAGGGGUGAAAUCCGUUGAUAUCGUGGGGAACACCAAAAGCGAAGGCAACUCACUGGCACACUCCUGACGCUGAUGUACGAAAGCGUGGGUAGCGAAUGGGAUUAGAUACCCCAGUAGUCCACGCCCUAAACGAUGUUCACUAGCUUUUCGGAGUAUCGACCCUCUGAGAGGCGCAGCUAACGCGUUAAGUGAACCGCCUGGGAAGUACGGCCGCAAGGCUAAAACUCAAAGGAAUAGACGGGGACUUGCACAAGCGGUGGAUCAUGUGGCUUAAUUCGACGAUAAACGAAGAACCUUACCAGGGCUUGAAACUCCAAUGAAAACUCCGUGAAAGCGGAGCCCUCCCACAAGGACAUUGGAGCAGGUGAUGCAUGGCCGUCGUCAGUUCGUGGUUUGAAUUGUUCCCUUAAGUGGGGUAACGAACGCAACCCCCAUCGUCUGUUAUACGUGUCAGACGAGACUGCCCAGCACCAUUUUCCGGAGUAAUAAGUAUGAAUAUGCAGCCGCAUAAAGCAUACUGAGUUAUUUUUGAAAGUGUUUCCGAUCUCUAGUUCGGGAAAAUGGUGCUGGGAGGAAGGAGGGGAUGACGCCAGGUCAGCAUGUCCUUUUGAUGUCCUGGGCUGCACACAUGAUACAAUGGCUGCUACAACGGGUUGCGACGGCGAAAGCCUGAGCUAAUCCUUCAAAGGCAGCCCUAGUUCGGAUUGAGGUCUGCAACUCGACCUCAUGAAGUUGGAAUCGCUAGUAAUCCCGGGUCAGCUAUACCGGGGUGAAUACGUUCUCAAGUCUUGUACUCACAAAUAACUGUGCCCGGCAGCUAUAUAUGCCAAAUGGUUAAAAUCCAUUCUUCCUUGUAGUGCAACCGCAUCACAAGGAGCGUAGCGAACAGACAGGACG